rnacentral:rRNA from 1 species
CCAGACUCCUACGGGAGGCAGCAGUAGGGAAUUUUGCGCAAUGGGCGAAAGCCUGACGCAGCAACGCCGCGUGAUCGAGACGCCCUUCGGGGUGUAAAGAUCUGUCAGUGGGGACGAAACUUGACGGUACCCACAGAGGAAGCACCGGCUAACUCCGUGCCAGCAGCCGCGGUAAUACGGAGGAUGCGAGCGUUAUCCGGAUUUAUUGGGUUUAAAGGGUGCGCAGGCGGAAGAUCAAGUCAGCGGUAAAAUUGGGAGGCUCAACCUCUUCGAGCCGUUGAAACUGGUUUUCUUGAGUGAGCGAGAAGUAUGCGGAAUGCGUGGUGUAGCGGUGAAAUGCAUAGAUAUCACGCAGAACUCCGAUUGCGAAGGCAGCAUACCGGCGCUCAACUGACGCUCAUGCACGAAAGUGUGGGUAUCGAACAGGAUUAGAUACCCCAGUAU